rnacentral:tRNA from 1 species
GCUCAGUUAGUUCAAUUGGUAGAAUGCUGGAUAAUAAACUUUUUAUUACAGAAAUGCAGGUUCGAAUCCUGCACUGGGCC